AUGAGCUUCUACAGCCUUCCGGAGACUCUACAUCACGAGAUUGCCACCGUUCAGGGGCGUUUCUUCUGGGCCGGCGAGGGGGAUAAGCAGAAGUACCACAUGGUCAGGUGGUCUGAGAUCUGCAAACCUCGCGACCAGGGAGGCCUCGGGAUCAUGUCCUCCAAACGCAUGAACAUUGCCCUUCUGAAUCGGUGGCUCUGGUGGAUAGGCAAGGGAGAUGGUGGCCUGUGGCUUCGCAUCAUUCAGCGGAAAUACCUCUGA
rnacentral:rRNA from 1 species